CACACACACACACACACACACACACACACACACACACACACACACACACACACACACACACACACACACACACACACACACACACACACACACACACACACACAUACAUACAUACAUACAUACAUACAUACAUACAUACAUACACACAGGAGUAAUGUUGCUCCCUCUGAAGUCACAAAGACCCUCCACCACGGCAAGGUGGAGUCCAGGAGAGGUGCUAAAAAAUUUAAACGAGGGCCAGCAAUAUGUAAAGCUGUGGUGGAGGAGUGGCCGAGCCGAGGUUUCUAAUGUCACAGUCUGUCCUGUGAUUUCAUUAAAAUAGUACAAUAAAUAUGCCUCAUGAAUAGACAGUAGCACAAACAAUAGAUGUAUCUAAUGUCACGGUGAAUACUGCAUAGGGUCUCUGUUCAUUAGAUGGUUGGAGAAUUGGCCUGUUCUUUGCAAAUGGUUAGAACAUUGGGAAAUGUGCAAACUGGAAAUCUUCCCACACCCAGUGCAUGUCUGAGAUUCUUCCUAUCAUCCGCUAUCAGCCUGUCAGGUGAUUUCCUUAAAAUACCACAAUAAUCAUACCUCAUGAAUAGACAAUAGCACAAACAAUAUAUAUUUUUAAUAACAUACACAAAAAUAUUUCCAAAAUAUCUAUAAUGUGUGUUCCUUACAUCAUGAUACUUCUUCCUUAUCCGCCUUCCUGGUUUGGAGUGGUUAAACCCAGACGCCCAUAGUUCAUCGUCUUCAACCUUGUCAUCAGACAUUAUAACAUAGCAAAAAGUGUCUGAUGAGAUAGAUUAAGGAAGACUGUUGAUUCUUCAAACAACAACUUUAUUAUAAGAUCUGCAAAACUUGGAGUGGUUAACAAUCCACUCAACAGUGCAGAGUUAAGAGCCCAACAAACAGAGUUGUCUCUGCUUUUAUAGAAAGUACAAUCUCCUUUUCUUCGUGACAGUUUAGCAGAUGUGUGGAAAAAGGGGCGGAACAGAUUAUAAAAGGCGUUUGGUUUGUCUGUGCUGAUUCAGAUAGAGGUUGAUAGCACGAGGGCUCAACCGUCUAACU
rnacentral:lncRNA from 13 species